rnacentral:rRNA from 1 species
UACAGAGGUCUCAAGCGUUGUUCGGAUUCAUUGGGCGUAAAGGGUGCGUAGGCGGCUGUUCAAGUCGGGGGUGAAAUCCCGUGGCUCAACCACGGAAUGGCCUUCGAUACUGGACGGCUCGAGUCCGGGAGAGGUGAGUGGAACUGCGAGUGUAGAGGUGAAAUUCGUAGAUAUUCGCAAGAACACCAGUGGCGAAGGCGGCUCACUGGCCCGGUACUGACGCUGAGGCACGAAAGCGUGGGGAGCAAACAGG